rnacentral:tRNA from 1 species
GGCCCCAUAGUUCAAGGGAUAGAACGUGAGUUUCCUAAACUUGAAAUCCAGGUUCGAAUCCUGGUGGGGCCA